AUAACAAACACGAAUGAUUCAAUGUGUUUAGAAAUGCUUGAACAUAUUGUAGUAAUAUGACUGGACAAAACAAGAAAUGACUCGUUCAAAGUUGAAACGAUUCACUUCACUGUGUGUUAAUUCGGCUAUUAUUGAACUGAUUCGUAUGGACCAAGUGAAAUGACUUGAUGUAUUUUGCAGUGACGCAACAAGUCGUAUAAGAGUGACCCAGUAAGCUGUCAAAUAAUUCAUGCUUUUUUACAGCCAUCCGAUGUGUUUUAAAAUAGCUCAACUAAAUUCGACACCAUUCAACCAGAUGAGACGCGAUUCGAUCUAAUAUGCGACAAUGUAACUCAAUGUGAAACGGCCCAGUUAAAGGCGGCGUCGUUCAGCUAGAUGUGAACAGAUUCAAAAUCAUGUGAAAUCACUCAAAUAAAUGUGAAAUCACUCAACAAGAUGUGAAAUGGCUUCACCAAAGGUGAAACGAUUCGCGUCCAAGUGAAAUGACACGGCAUAUUUUGAUUUGACGUAACUUGUGCGUUCUUGACACGUCUUGUUGUAAGUUGAUUCAUCAUGUUGUGAAGUGAAUCAACAAGAUGCUUCCAUCUUGUUAUUUAUACUUCCUUGAAAGAAAUUUUACGGAAAUAAAAUCAAAAUAUGGAAAUUUGCCGCAUGUUUAUUGAAAUGAGAUAUCGUUCAAAGUCCUUUCCGCAACUCACACUUCGACGUUCGCACACCGUUAUUUUGUAUCGCGACAUUUUCCAAGCUUUUUUGCAUUUUGUUGGCAAAUAUUUUUCCCCUGGAAGAUCUCAGUAUAAAGGUCAAUUUAAUAUAGAUACAUUAUGGAUUCAUUUACAGCAGAACUAAUUAAUGCUAUCAAGGAUGUCAUUACCAUGUUAAGUGAAAGCACGAGUUAUGAUGAUCGUGAGCUGUGUGCAAUGCGACUUGAAGUACUUGCUGAGAAUGCAUUAACUCAUGAUGUCAUCCCAUUGGAGGUUGUUGACUGCAUAAAUAAAGCAGUUCAAUUAUUGAAAAGAGAUCUUGGGAUAGAAAGAAGAUAUGAACCUUAUCAAGCUCCAUCAGAUGAAGCUCUCAGGAGGCGAGGACGCCCAAGAUUUUCUAUUACGCAAGAGCAGCUUAUGUUUUUUAAAGAUAUGGGAUUUACUCAAAAUCAAAUGGCAUUAAUGCUUGGUGUCAGCAAGCGAACAGUGGAAAACAGACUUGCUGAAUUUAACAUGACACGCAUUGAGAGAUUCAGUGAUAUUGAUGACGACUCCCUUGAUAUAUACACUAAACGAAUAAUCUCGUAUUUCCCAAGAUCAGGUAAAAUAA